rnacentral:rRNA from 1 species
CCCUUAGAUGUUCUGGGCCGCACGCGUGCUACACUGAGUGGAUCAGCGGGUCAGGUUACGCGAGAGCGUUUCCUAAUCUUCAAAUCCGCUCGUGAUGGGGAUUGACGGUUGCAAUUUUCCGUCAUGAACGAGGAAUACCUUGUAAGCGCGGGUCAUCAUCCCGCGCUGAAUACGUCCCUGCCCUUUGUACACACCGCCCGUCGCUCCUACCGAUUGAGUGGUCCGGUGAGGCUUUGGGAUCUAAGCGGAAAGAGCGUUUCGCUGUUUCUGCCCGGAAAACUCAGUCGAACCUUAUCAUUUAGAGGAAGGAGAAGUCGUAACA